AUUGAACGCUGGCGGCAUGCUUUACACAUGCAAGUCGAACGGUAACAGGGUGCUUGCACCGCUGACGAGUGGCGAACGGGCGAGUAAUGCGUCGGAACGUGCCGAGUAGUGGGGGAUAACGCAGCGAAAGUUGUGCUAAUACCGCACACGUACUGAGGUAGAAAGUGGGGACCUUCGGGCCUCACGCUAUUCGAGCGGCCGACGUCUGAUUAGCUAGUAGGUGAGGUAAAGGCUCACCUAGGCGACGAUCAGUAGCGGGUCUGAGAGGAUGAUCCGCCACACUGGGACUGAGACACGGCCCAGACUCCUACGGGAGGCAGCAGUGGGGAAUUUUGGACAAUGGGCGAAAGCCUGAUCCAGCCAUGCCGCGUGUCUGAAGAAGGCCUUCGGGUUGUAAAGGACUUUUGUCGGGGAGGAAAUCCCCAGCGUUAAUACCGCUGGGGGAUGACAGUACCUGAAGAAUAAGCACCGGCUAACUACGUGCCAGCCGCCGCUGUAA
rnacentral:rRNA from 1 species